UACAGUUGAACCACCUUAUAAGAGACCCACACAGGAGAGCAGUUCUUGUCCCUUAUACGGGGUGCCUUGUAUAAGCUGGGUACCAUGUUCUCAUUUUUCAUCAACCCCUGCUUCGAUGACGGCACAUUGGUGUGUCUUCUACCCACUUGUCUCUUACAUCAGCGUCUCUUAUAAUGGGGUUCAUCUGUACUUGCUUGACAGACAAGCAGUUCUACAUAACAUGCAGCUUCUGCAGAAAUGUUUUGCAGGGAGCAAAACAUGAACACUUAUAAGAAACAAGAGAUUGCUGAAAGUAGCCGUAAUGAACUGUUGCUGUGGCGCUGUCCUUUUCUAGGGGAGGUUACUGCCUGGCCCCUUCACGCAUGGAGUUCUGGCAGGGACACUCCUCUCGUCUGCACGAUCGCAUCGUUUUUCAAAAGGGCGACGCUUCUGGCAUGGCAGAACCAGCUGCACCUGGCUGGGUGAUGGAGAGGUUGUACCCGUGAGCUUUUUUCCAAGUGACCCCAUUUUUGUUCUCCUAUGUUCCACUUAGCUGUCCACCCCUUCCUCUCUUCUUCUUCACUCCGUUUGUGUUCUUUCAUACCUGUGGUCGCUGGCACAGUUCGUGGCAGAAAUUGACAAAAAUAGUAUACCCGUAUGUAAGCUUUCCUCAUCAGUUGGCUAGGCUGGAGUUGCUGCCACAGGUAAUGCGAUAAAUUACUGAAAACUGGUGGCUGGAUGCUUGAAAAAGCGGAAUACUAUGCAGCUCACACACUUCCAUGAUGAAUUUUGGCCUCACCUCUGUUAUUAAUAUUAUUGCAGUUUGCUCAUGAUAUUUAAAUGUUGUUGGUUAUUGAGGCUAUUCUUGAAAUUUGGUUGGCACACUGCUAUAUCAAAACAUUUUGAAGCUUCUUAAUUCUAAGAGCCAGUUGUUUAAUUCGAUCCAAAUUGGCUGGCUUCCAGAGCAGACAACAUAGCCAAAACCUCAGUUUUUCACCUUACAUAAUGGACGUGGCUGACAUUCAUAUUCCUCAUAAAGAGGAAUAUCGAUAUGAGUGAAGUUUAUUGCGAAUGGCUGGCUGCUUUCUUAAACUCCUUGUUACUGUCAUUGUGUAGAUUGUGAAUAUGUUCUGUCACCUCAGGUACAGUCGCACUCAGUAUGACUUGCAGCAUGGGAGCGCGUGACCUCAUGAGUUCAAAGAUUGCACAUGGCUUCAACUUGUUUUCAUUUCAGCAACUAAAUAUUUUCUUAUUUGGAAUCAUCCCCGUGUGCAAGAACAGCAUUUAGUUAUGGAAAUAAGGUCUAGUGGAAGCCAUGGGCAUGCUUUGAACUCGUGAGGCCACGCGCUCCCGUGUUGCAAGUCAUAUUGAGCGCGACUGUACAUGGGAAGUGAAUGUAUUGGAUGUUUAUUGUGUUGAGCUGGAUAGGAGAUGAACUGGCAGGGUGGAGUGUAUUUGUGUUUCGGACAUUACAAUAAAAGAAGAGUACACAACGAGAGAACAAAACAGAACGUGUCCUCCUUUCUUUUUUUUUUGUGUUGUUUCUUGUGCUAGCCUCAAAUGCAAACUUGUUCAUUUAGAGACAGCAGCAGGUAGCUGGGAAAUAAAAGCCUGAAUAUAGUUGGAGAACCAUUCCAUCUCAGGCUUGUUGAAAUGCAUAUUACUUGGUCAUCAAGCUUUUAUGCUUUGCACACAGUCAUGCUACGAUUUUUGGUACUGGUAGUCUUGAAGAAGUCCUAAUUGCUAAACGACAGACACAAGCCUGUCUUUCUUAGUGUUUAUCUGGCACUGGUGUGUUGUGAGCUAUCAGACACAUUGUAGUUUUAACAUAUAAACAAAAAAGUGUGCUUUUCUCAUGUUAAUAAAAGCUUUUAUUUGUAUUGCUUCAGCCAGAAAAAACACCAGAAAGAGUGCAGGAAGAGUGCACUUUUGGGUUAGUCUUGUUAUGCCUUCUGAACAAAUUUGUACCAUGUGUUCUGUUAUUAGCAUUCACAUUUUCGUGAGGGUGUUACUACACAUCCUACUUUUCUGAUUCACAUCACUGUUGUGGGUACUCCUCCACACAUUGACGACCGAGUUUUAAGGGAAGUGCUGUGGUAUUUAGGUUAGGAAAAUACAAACAAGCAGGUUUUUGUAGAGCCUACUUAAACAAUGAAACUUUGUAUGCAUGUAUACAUUGCAACUUCUGCUGCUCUCUUUUCUGUCUAGCAGCAGUAAUGCUAUGGCUGCUCAGGGACAGUAGGAUUAGGUGAAGGCCUAUUUCCACCAUAAUUACUAUCUUUGAGUGUGCAAACACAAGCCAAUUACAUUCCGUGUUGGCUUCUCGUGGUGCCACCAUGUUUCUGUGCAGUGCACAGUGAGUUUCCAGAAGUCAUCGUCACGGGAUGCUAGCGAUCAUUAGCUAUUACACCACACCAUGUAUAUUUAUGCCGCUACAGCUGUCGAGUGACAGUUCAUGUCAUGAAAUUUGCUUUAGGUGACUUGCCGUUUGUAUUUGUCUGCGCCUCCUGCCUGCUUGCAGGUCGCAGUGUGAAAACAACUGUGCUUCCAAUAACAGGGCUUCCACAUUUUCACUAAUGCUAGUUGCGAGGAUAGCAGUAGAUGGUUGAUUGUCAUUGUUUAAACUGAGCAAGUGUACAGCAGCUUGCUCGCGCAAUUUAUUUUUCUGUCUGCAGCGCUGCGAUGACAUAACCUUGUGAAGUAACUAUAGGCUGGGGUGUACAACUUUGGGGGUAGCUUGAGUAAUUUUAAGUCUGGACGUAAUGAACUUGAGUAUUGGCAGACUACCAAGAAAUUGCUCACCCACUACAGUGGCUAAAUGGCUGCAGUGCUUCACUCCUAACCAUGAAUUGAGGGGAUCAUUUACCAGCUGCGGCAGGCACAUUUUGAUGGGGGUAAUGUACAAAACUUGUGCACUUUGAUUCAGCUGCUCAUUAAAAAACCUCAGGUGGUGAAAAUUAUUCCGCAGCCCUCCACCAUUACAUGCCUCAUAAUCGUGUCGUGGUUUUGGCUUGUAAAACUUCAGAGUGAAUGCUUGUCUUGGAAAUGGGUAGGACAGGCUGUUUUAUGCAAUCACGUCACAAGUAUGCAAUAUUAGUGAUUUUGCUUCGACAUCACAGCCUUAUUUAUGCUUGAGAUCGUAUCAAAGCAUAUGAUUGAUUGGUGGAUUUAUCAUCUCAAGAAAUAUGAAAUGGUGCUACAGUGGAGGUUCUAGAUUCAUUUAGAGCACCUGAGAUUCUGUAACACAUCCAAAGCAGUGUGCACGCAAAUGCCUUCGCAUUCAUUUCCUGCAACAUUGUGGUCCAGCUCAGCCAUACUCGUGGCCUCAUGUUUGACAGAACGCCGAACCGCAUAAAUCCUACGUGGUGCGUAUUAUAUGAAACAGUUUCAAUUUCAUGGUGUCAGGGUGAUAUAGAAAGAGCUAGUCAGUACCAAAUAUGGCAGUAAAUCAUUAUUUCAUUGGGUUUACUGUGUUGAGGCUCGAGUGUUCUCGCAAUAAUGGUACCAGUGUGGACCUUGAUUUUUGAAUGAGCUAGUGCAAUUGUUUACCUGCGUGAUUUGCAGACACAUGGUUGCUGUGUCGUGCACACCUGAAGCACAUAGUGUGUCUUAUUGAUGUCAUGCAUUUAGGAUCUUCUUGUUUCAUAUUUCUCUUUUUUUUUUCACAGAAAUGCAGGGGUGCAAAGCACUGUUUUACGAUAAACAUAUUGUUGGAAAGUGAAGUGCUUUGUUAAAGGACGUUUAUGUAGAAAUGUACUUCUUUUUUUAAAAUAAACUGUUUCCUGUCUGUA